AGACGCUGAGGGGGAUCGAACCCCCGUCAUACCUCACAUGAGGCUGGCACGCUAUCCACUGCGCCAUACCACC